rnacentral:rRNA from 1 species
ACGAACGCUGGCGGCGUGCCUAAUACAUGCAAGUCGAACGCUUCUUUUUCCACCGGAGCUUGCUCCACCGGAAAAAGAGGAGUGGCGAACGGGUGAGUAACACGUGGGUAACCUGCCCAUCAGAAGGGGAUAACACUUGGAAACAGGUGCUAAUACCGUAUAACAAUCGAAACCGCAUGGUUUUGAUUUGAAAGGCGCUUUCGGGUGUCGCUGAUGGAUGGACCCGCGGUGCAUUAGCUAGUUGGUGAGGUAACGGCUCACCAAGGCGACGAUGCAUAGCCGACCUGAGAGGGUGAUCGGCCACAUUGGGACUGAGACACGGCCCAAACUCCUACGGGAGGCAGCAGUAGGGAAUCUUCGGCAAUGGACGAAAGUCUGACCGAGCAACGCCGCGUGAGUGAAGAAGGUUUUCGGAUCGUAAAACUCUGUUGUUAGAGAAGAACAAGGAUGAGAGUAACUGUUCAUCCCUUGACGGUAUCUAACCAGAAAGCCACGGCUAACUACGUGCCAGCAGCCGCGGUAAUACGUAGGUGGCAAGCGUUGUCCGGAUUUAUUGGGCGUAAAGCGAGCGCAGGCGGUUUCUUAAGUCUGAUGUGAAAGCCCCCGGCUCAACCGGGGAGGGUCAUUGGAAACUGGGAGACUUGAGUGCAGAAGAGGAGAGUGGAAUUCCAUGUGUAGCGGUGAAAUGCGUAGAUAUAUGGAGGAACACCAGUGGCGAAGGCGGCUCUCUGGUCUGUAACUGACGCUGAGGCUCGAAAGCGUGGGGAGCGAACAGGAUUAGAUACCCUGGUAGUCCACGCCGUAAACGAUGAGUGCUAAGUGUUGGAGGGUUUCCGCCCUUCAGUGCUGCAGCUAACGCAUUAAGCACUCCGCCUGGGGAGUACGACCGCAAGGUUGAAACUCAAAGGAAUUGACGGGGGCCCGCACAAGCGGUGGAGCAUGUGGUUUAAUUCGAAGCAACGCGAAGAACCUUACCAGGUCUUGACAUCCUUUGACCACUCUAGAGAUAGAGCUUCCCCUUCGGGGGCAAAGUGACAGGUGGUGCAUGGUUGUCGUCAGCUCGUGUCGUGAGAUGUUGGGUUAAGUCCCGCAACGAGCGCAACCCCUAUCCUUAGUAGCCAGCAGUAAGAUGGGCACUCUAGGGAGACUGCCAGGGAUAACCUGGAGGAAGGUGGGGAUGACGUCAAAUCAUCAUGCCCCUUAUGACCUGGGCUACACACGUGCUACAAUGGGAAGUACAACGAGUCGCAAAGUCGCGAGGCUAAGCUAAUCUCUUAAAGCUUCUCUCAGUUCGGAUUGUAGGCUGCAACUCGCCUACAUGAAGCCGGAAUCGCUAGUAAUCGCGGAUCAGCACGCCGCGGUGAAUACGUUCCCGGGCCUUGUACACACCGCCCGUCACACCACGAGAGUUUGUAACACCCGAAGUCGGUGAGGUAACCUUUUGGAGCCAGCCGCCUAAGGUGGGAUAGAUGAUUGGGGUG